UACGUAGGGUGCAAGCGUUGUCCGGAAUUAUUGGGCGUAAAGGGCUCGUAGGCGGUUUGUCGCGUCGGGAGUGAAAUCCACUGGCUUAACUGGUGGCUUGCUUUCGAUACGGGCAGACUGGAGGUAUGCAGGGGAGAACGGAAUUCCUGGUGUAGCGGUGAAAUGCGUAGAGAUCCGGAGGAACACCAGUGGCGAAGGCGACACGCUGGGCCAUACCUGACGCUAAAGCGCGACAGCAUGGGGAGCAAACGGG
rnacentral:rRNA from 1 species